rnacentral:lncRNA from 1 species
ACCAUUGUUGUGGUGACACCAAAGGCCUGUGGUGUAUUCCUUCAGAACCAAUUGGUUUCACAGGCAAGCAUGUUGUCCAUGCAGCUCACGCUAUUUUGGAGGGAAAAUACAAUACACACAGAGACCAGACUUUGGAGGAAUGAGGCCGGCCUUCUGUCAUCUUGGGAAAUGAUUUUCCAGAAGGUUAUAUGAGGAUGUGAUGGCAAGAAUAGAGUGGGCUAUUCACCCUGCUCAUGAAUCAAGGUCUCUGACACUUUGGCAUUGAACACACAAGAUGUGGACUGAUUCACAGUCUGAGGGAUUCUCUGUGACUCUAGAUUUUCCUCUUCCUGAGACUUCUGUGUGGGACAAAGCAUGUUGUCUCCAUUCCCUGCCCUAUUAUCUCUACGAGUUUACUAGUGUUGGUCAACCUACAUGGUCUGUUGGAAAGGCAUCACCCCAAGCCUCCACCACCAAUAAGCAGGAUCAGAGAAUGAAGAGGAUGGAGAAGCUCAAAAGGGAUCUCCAGAAGAUCAAAAAUGGGAGAGACAACUCCAGGGAAUCCUAGUCAAUUACACUAACAAGGAUUUGAACAACAGAUGUGCCAUCACAGGUCUAUAAGGAUGACAAACAGAACUCUCCAGUGGAAUGGGAACACUCUGGCCGUACAGUCUUAUUCUGACAAAGGCUCGAGAAUUCAAGAUUACGAACCAUAAAACUAGAGCAAAUCUGUGUGUAGGACACUAUUGGCUCAUCAAGCCUGGGAUGCACCAGGGCAUACAGUAGGCACAUAUUUGUUGUAAGGAAUCCCUACAGGAAUGAGAAGACAUGAUGAAGACGCCAAGAUCAUCCCUCUAAAAAUAAGAACUGAGAAUGUUAACUCGUCAA